UUCCUGUGUGUAGCUGAUCAUUCUCCCCCAGCACUGCAAAGCCGCUGUUACAAACUGGCCUCCCACCACUCAAGGCACACAGCACAGGGCAAUAAAUAUCUGCUAAAAGAAGUCAGACUGGUCUCCGGGAAGAGAUAACUCUGCUCCUUCUGUGAAUUCUUCAGCUGUACUGCAGACAUUACUUGUGCUGGGAGAUGGCGGUUGCUGGGGAAAAAACCUGAGAAACCCUAGUUCAUAUCCUCCCUCUGACACUUCUUAGAGUGAUUACUGCUGGUAGGAAGCAGCUGGGAGGCGUGCAGUGCUGGCACCGUGUCAUCGCAGGACCACUGCAGCCGCCAAGCUGCUUUCAAAGACUGGAAGCAACAGGUGCCUGUCAUCGAAAGCAGGGGAAUGAUUUUCACACAUUACAGGAAACCAGGGAUGUUACUGGGUGACUUUUAUUUGCUGUGAAAGGCAAAUUUUUGGCAAAGCCCAAAAGACUCUUGGCGAGAACUUGAGUUUUAGAGGCCUCAGAUCAUCACUGUGUGUCUGCAAGCAGAUGUGGGCUCUGCACGCAUCUGUGUGCUUUGAACAGGACUUCCAGCCACCCAUAGUGGAUGUUAUUGCAAGCAGAAUAAAUACAACCAGUGUUGUUUAUUGCUUAUCCUGUAU